CUGGUAAGCCUCUUCCUAUUCCGCAGGAAGACGCGUGGGAGACAAAAUCCCAACGAUCACAUGGGGACAACAAUAUCAACGCAAUCAUGAACCCUAAGCAAAAUAGGGGUUGGCGCUGGAUACUGAAGAACAAGAAGAAGCGAGGAAUCUACCGGAUCGGGAUAUUUUGGAGACGAAUGAACAGGGUUUUUCGCUCUCAGUCGCCGUCCAAUCCUCUAGGGUUUUUCUCAGUAGCCGUCGACUUCUCUCUAGGGUUUUUUCGUGGUCGUCCUCUGGUGGAGGAGGAGGCUUCUUUUAUACUCACCCUGUUUAGGGUUUUUGAGCUGGCUAUGGAGAUCAAAAGGGUAAUGCUCUUGGAAGUGCUUUAGGGUGCUCACAGUUUGUCUACAUUAUUCGGUGUUUGAUCUGGAAUAGGAUCCUAAGUCAUUGUUAUCAUUAUCCAACACGGGAGAAUCUCGUUGGACAUUUCCAGAAGUUUAAGAAUCAACACCUGAAUCACUGCAAAUUUCCUCCUUGCCAGCUUGUUGUAAAGAUGAAGACUGAAAUUCACCAUUAUGCAGCUGUGUGUCUCGCUGAACAUGACUUCUGAAUUUUGAACUUGUAUAAGAGCCUCGUAUUCGAGUAUUGAUGUCAGGAUCUUUCAAUGAGCAAUAAAUUUUUCAAGAGCCACACAUUGAGACAUCAACUCCUUUUCAGCAUCAAGAUGCAUUACCAGGGCAAGGGCUUCAAAAAGAACAGCAUGGGAAGCAUUGUUUUGUUUACAUUUCUCACAACAUCGAUUCCCAUCAGUAUCCUUUGCAAGACCUCAAACAAUGAUCUUCUGGUAUUUGGAUUCACAAGUGCAAGAACAUUCACAGUGUUAUCAUUUUUUCAGGUGCUAUACUAUGACGCCCAUCCCUUGCCACUUGCCUCUUUAUUGGCUCAUUACGCUUAGAAACUUAAUUUGGUGCUUGCAACAUCAGAGGACAGAGGUGGCGUGCUGCUGAUGGAAUCAGGCUUAGGUUUGGACAAUAGGAUAUGACAGACCAACAGCAGCUGGCUGCAAUUCGUAACCCAUAAAUCCCAUGCAGCAGGGGGAGCCAUAAGCUUUGCAGGAUUUCUAUCAGGAAGAGAACGUCCUACCGUGGUGAUCGCCGCACCAGUAACAUGUUGAAACAGGACCAGCGUAUGCUGAAACUAUUUCAUCUUUCGUGAAACUGUCUUCCCGAGAGCCAAUCUUAUGAAGAUCAAAGCCUACGGAAGGUGUUUGAGAAAUCCUGCCAAUGUGAUGCUCGUUCAAUACUAAAGGCUGUUGCAUGCUGCCUGAAAAAAACCUUUGAAUUGUUAUGGUUGGCCAUAAUGAAUGUUGUAACCAGAAUGAAACAAGACCCCGUGCAAUGAAUUGCUAGCGCAUGAGAUGCAUUUGGCAUUGGUAUUUCCGCUCUUCUCUAUCCAUGGAAAAAAAUUCUGUUGGAGGAACAUUGCAUUUACUUCUCUUGACUUCGUAGCCGGCUACUGAAGAUCCUAUGAAUAAAACCUUUAUCAAAAGCAAGAGGUGAUUCGCUGGUCAAACCAGAAGGUUUACAACCAUGUCUGCGGGCGAUGGAUCAUGAAAACCAGUUGACGUUAAAGAAAUGGAAAUAGAAACUGUCCUGAAGUGAACAACGAAUAAGAUUUUCUCGAGGAGUUGAAGAAGAAAGUGGACCGCCAAACAGGGAGCUUGUCUGGCGUGGAAAUGGCUGCGCCAUUAUAGGAUUUGGUCUUGAUGCAGAAAUAUAAACUGCUGGUCCAUAAUGAACAACAGAUUCUGCAGAAGAUCGUCCUAUUCGCAAUGUUAACAUAGUUCGACCUUGUUCAAGUAGAA